UUAAGCGACUAAGCGUACACGGUGGAUGCCCUGGCAGUCAGAGGCGAUGAAGGACGUGCUAAUCUGCGAUAAGCGUCGGUAAGGUGAUAUGAACCGUUAUAACCGGCGAUUUCCGAAUGGGGAAACCCAGUGUGAUUCGUCACACUAUCAUUAACUGAAUCCAUAGGUUAAUGAGGCGAACCGGGGGAACUGAAACAUCUAAGUACCCCGAGGAAAAGAAAUCAACCGAGAUUCCCCCAGUAGCGGCGAGCGAACGGGGAGCAGCCCAGAGCCUGAAUCAGUGUGUGUGUUAGUGGAAGCGUCUGGAAAGGCGCGCGAUACAGGGUGACAGCCCCGUACACAAAAAUGCACAUGCUGUGAGCUCGAUGAGUAGGGCGGGACACGUGGUAUCCUGUCUGAAUAUGGGGGGACCAUCCUCCAAGGCUAAAUACUCCUGACUGACCGAUAGUGAACCAGUACCGUGAGGGAAAGGCGAAAAGAACCCCGGCGAGGGGAGUGAAAAAGAACCUGAAACCGUGUACGUACAAGCAGUGGGAGCACGCUUAGGCGUGUGACUGCGUACCUUUUGUAUAAUGGGUCAGCGACUUAUAUUCUGUAGCAAGGUUAACCGAAUAGGGGAGCCGAAGGGAAACCGAGUCUUAACUGGGCGUUAAGUUGCAGGGUAUAGACCCGAAACCCGGUGAUCUAGCCAUGGGCAGGUUGAAGGUUGGGUAACACUAACUGGAGGACCGAACCGACUAAUGUUGAAAAAUUAGCGGAUGACUUGUGGCUGGGGGUGAAAGGCCAAUCAAACCGGGAGAUAGCUGGUUCUCCCCGAAAGCUAUUUAGGUAGCGCCUCGUGAAUUCAUCUCCGGGGGUAGAGCACUGUUUCGGCAAGGGGGUCAUCCCGACUUACCAACCCGAUGCAAACUGCGAAUACCGGAGAAUGUUAUCACGGGAGACACACGGCGGGUGCUAACGUCCGUCGUGAAGAGGGAAACAACCCAGACCGCCAGCUAAGGUCCCAAAGUCAUGGUUAAGUGGGAAACGAUGUGGGAAGGCCCAGACAGCCAGGAUGUUGGCUUAGAAGCAGCCAUCAUUUAAAGAAAGCGUAAUAGCUCACUGGUCGAGUCGGCCUGCGCGGAAGAUGUAACGGGGCUAAACCAUGCACCGAAGCUGCGGCAGCGACGCUUAUGCGUUGUUGGGUAGGGGAGCGUUCUGUAAGCCUGCGAAGGUGUGCUGUGAGGCAUGCUGGAGGUAUCAGAAGUGCGAAUGCUGACAUAAGUAACGAUAAAGCGGGUGAAAAGCCCGCUCGCCGGAAGACCAAGGGUUCCUGUCCAACGUUAAUCGGGGCAGGGUGAGUCGACCCCUAAGGCGAGGCCGAAAGGCGUAGUCGAUGGGAAACAGGUUAAUAUUCCUGUACUUGGUGUUACUGCGAAGGGGGGACGGAGAAGGCUAUGUUGGCCGGGCGACGGUUGUCCCGGUUUAAGCGUGUAGGCUGGUUUUCCAGGCAAAUCCGGAAAAUCAAGGCUGAGGCGUGAUGACGAGGCACUACGGUGCUGAAGCAACAAAUGCCCUGCUUCCAGGAAAAGCCUCUAAGCAUCAGGUAACAUCAAAUCGUACCCCAAACCGACACAGGUGGUCAGGUAGAGAAUACCAAGGCGCUUGAGAGAACUCGGGUGAAGGAACUAGGCAAAAUGGUGCCGUAACUUCGGGAGAAGGCACGCUGAUAUGUAGGUGAAGUGAUUUACUCAUGGAGCUGAAAUCAGUCGAAGAUACCAGCUGGCUGCAACUGUUUAUUAAAAACACAGCACUGUGCAAACACGAAAGUGGACGUAUACGGUGUGACGCCUGCCCGGUGCCGGAAGGUUAAUUGAUGGGGUCAGCGCAAGCGAAGCUCUUGAUCGAAGCCCCGGUAAACGGCGGCCGUAACUAUAACGGUCCUAAGGUAGCGAAAUUCCUUGUCGGGUAAGUUCCGACCUGCACGAAUGGCGUAAUGAUGGCCAGGCUGUCUCCACCCGAGACUCAGUGAAAUUGAACUCGCUGUGAAGAUGCAGUGUACCCGCGGCAAGACGGAAAGACCCCGUGAACCUUUACUAUAGCUUGACACUGAACAUUGAGCCUUGAUGUGUAGGAUAGGUGGGAGGCUUUGAAGUGUGGACGCCAGUCUGCAUGGAGCCGACCUUGAAAUACCACCCUUUAAUGUUUGAUGUUCUAACGU
rnacentral:rRNA from 1 species